ACUGCCUCCUAAUCCUAAUCAGGACAGUUACAGGAUGAUGGUGAACAGAGAGACAGGCUUCAACAAGGUCUUCAGUUCCAGUGCCAACAUUGGUGUCAUCAGUCAUCUUAUCAAGGGUUUUUUGUGUUUCUGCGUCUCUGCAGAAUCUAAUGCCUGAACAUCCGCGGCUGAAGCAGCUCCGUUUCCUCCUGAGUGCGACUUGCUUCUUAUUCACCAUUAACCUUUGACCUCUGAGGAAAGCGCUGGGUUAUUACACGAAGAGACUCUCAGGCCCUGCAGGCAAAUCUGAUUUUGUUCUCCUCUCUGCUUCUAAAGCAGGAAUUAAGCGAAGUCCGGCUCUCAGGGAACAGGUGCUAUGCAGAGAAACGCGGCCCGUCGCCGGAGCACACAUCGCUCGAAACUCAUAUUGAUGAGAAAACGGACUGAAAUAUGACCAAAGAGAAAACUUUGAAAAAAGAUAUUUGUAACAUUAUCAUGUUUCCUAACCAUGUGAGCCCUGAACCGGUGGGUUUUAUGUUGCAGAUGAAUUGAAAUAAAUACGGUUUUGACUCCUUUAAUGAGACACACGAGUCCAAAGUUUUACAGUCACUGUCUGAUGAACAUGUUCUCUGCUCACGUUUUGUAAUUCACCGCUUUUUCUUUUAACACCAUAAUAGCUUCAAACAUGAGAAAACAUUAUGUAGAACAUUUAAUACAUAAUAAUAUCAUAAUAAUACUGUCCAGUCUAUUAAUGUAGGGGGGAUGCAUUUUAAUUUCAGAGCCUGCUAAUAUCUGCAUCCUCUGUCUAUUGUCCUGUUGAUAUGAAACUUAUAUCCUGAGCCCAGAGUCUGUUUUCUCAUCAAUAUGUGAGUUUGGAGCGAUGCGCGCUCCCGCGACAGGCCAUGCGUUUCCCUGCAGAACAUCUUCAAUAAACUGUCUACUGACUCCAUCCUCACGACUUCUGCAGAAAUUUCUGCUCUACAAAAACCAACCAGAUGAAUAUAGAGGAAGUGGAGCUGUCCGUGGAGGCCGUCCCUGAAAGGCGAUGGGUUCCCUGCAGACGUUCCCCAGCUCCUCUGUGGCUGUGAGAAAAGCCCGGUGACCCAGGAGCCCAGAGAGACUCUGAGUCCAGGCCUCUGCUGCGUGGGACGGAGCCCGGUUUAGAUUUUAGAGCAAAGAGGAAUGAGGCCUGAUGGGAGCCUUUUGGAAGGUCACAUAGUUUCACAGCACAAAUCUGAGUUGUUCAUCAAGUUAUUCGUUUAUAAAUGUCACAGUUUCAAACCAAAUAUUUAGAUAAAAUGCUAAUUCACUUGCUUGA